AGUGGGAUAGCUGUGUCAAAUGGUGGUUCCAUUCCAAGUUUUCUGAGGAAUCGCCAUACUGCUUUUCAUAGUAGUUGUACCAAUUUGCAAUCCCACCAGCAAU
rnacentral:pre_miRNA from 1 species